AGCGAACGCUGGCGGUAGGCCUAACACAUGCAAGUCGAACGGCAGCACAGGAGAGCUUGCUCUCUGGGUGGCGAGUGGCGGACGGGUGAGGAAUACAUCGGAAUCUACUCUGUCGUGGGGGAUAACGUAGGGAAACUUACGCUAAUACCGCAUACGACCUACGGGUGAAAGCAGGGGACCUUCGGGCCUUGCGCGAUUGAAUGAGCCGAUGUCGGAUUAGCUAGUUGGCGGGGUAAAGGCCCACCAAGGCGACGAUCCGUAGCUGGCCUGAGAGAAUGAUCAGCCACCCUGGAACUGAGCCACGGUCCAGACUCCUACGGGAGGCAGCAGUGGGGAAUAUUGGACAAGGGGCGCAAGCCUGAGCCAGCCAUACCGCGUGGGUGAAGAAGGCCUUCGGGUUGUAAAGCCCUUUUGUUGGGAAAGAAAUCCAGCUGGCUAAUACCCGGUUGGGAUGACGGUACCCAAAGAAUAAGCACCGGCUAACUUCGUGCCAGCCGCCGCCGUAA
rnacentral:rRNA from 1 species